rnacentral:rRNA from 1 species
GACGAACGCUGGCGGCGUGCUUAACACAUGCAAGUCGAACGGAAAGGCCCUGCGCUUGUGGGUUGCUCGAGUGGCGAACGGGUGAGUAACACGUGUGUAUCCUGCCCUUGUCUUUGGGAUAACUUCAGGAAACUGGGGCUCUUAUCGGAUAGGAGCUCCUGCUCCACGGUGGGGGUUGGAAAGUUUCGGCGGUUGGGGAUGGACUCGCGGCUUACCCGCUUGUUGGUGGGGUAGUGGCUUACCAAGGUUUUGACGGGUAGCCGGCCUGAGAGGGUGACCAGCCACAUGGGGACUGAGAGACGGCCCAGACGGCUACGGGACGCAGCAGGGGGGAAUAUGGCAGAAUGGGCGGAAGCCUGAUGCAGCAACGCCGCGUGCGGGAUGACGGGCUUCGGGUUGUAAACCGCUUUCUCCGGUGACGAAGCGGGAGUGACGGUAAUGGGUAAAGAAGCACCGGCUAACUACGUG